rnacentral:rRNA from 1 species
GGCGUCGAGCGGCGGACGGGUGAGUAAUGCCUAGGAAAUUGCCCUGAUGUGGGGGAUAACCAUUGGAAACGAUGGCUAAUACCGCAUGAUGCCUACGGGCCAAAGAGGGGGACCUUCGGGCCUCUCGCGUCAGGAUAUGCCUAGGUGGGAUUAGCUAGUUGGUGAGGUAAGGGCUCACCAAGGCGACGAUCCCUAGCUGGUCUGAGAGGAUGAUCAGCCACACUGGAACUGAGACACGGUCCAGACUCCUACGGGAGGCAGCAGUGGGGAAUAUUGCACAAUGGGCGCAAGCCUGAUGCAGCCAUGCCGCGUGUGUGAAGAAGGCCUUCGGGUUGUAAAGCACUUUCAGUCGUGAGGAAGGUUUAUGCGUUAAUAGCGUAUAGAUUUGACGUUAGCGACAGAAGAAGCACCGGCUAACUCCGUGCCAGCAGCCGCG